rnacentral:rRNA from 1 species
AUUGAACGCUGGCGGCAUGCUUUACACAUGCAAGUCGAACGGUAACAGGCCUUCGGGUGCUGACGAGUGGCGCACGGGUGAGUAAUGCAUCGGAACGUGCCCAGAGGUGGGGGAUAACGCAGCGAAAGCUGUGCUAAUACCGCAUGUGAUCUGAGGAUGAAAGCGGGGGACCAAGCAGCAAUGUUUGGCCUCGCGCCUCUGGAGCGGCCGAUGUCAGAUUAGGUAGUUGGUGGGGUAAAGGCCUACCAAGCCGACGAUCUGUAGCUGGUCUGAGAGGACGACCGGCCACACUGGGACUGAGACACGGCCCAGACUCCUACGGGAGGCAGCAGUGGGGAAUUUUGGACAAUGGGCGCAAGCCUGAUCCAGCAAUGCCGCGUGCGGGAAGAAGGCCUUCGGGUUGUAAACCGCUUUUGUACGGAACGAAAAGGCUCUGGCUAAUACCUGGGGCUGAUGACGGUACCGUAAGAAUAAGCACCGGCUAACUACGUG